UGGCAUCCACAGAGCACGUAAG
rnacentral:misc_RNA from 1 species